rnacentral:rRNA from 1 species
AGAGUUCCCUUCUGGCUCAGGAUGAACGCUAGCGGCAGGCUUAACACAUGCAAGUCGAGGGGCAGCAUGAGACGGAGAUUCGUCGAAGUCUUGAUGGCGACCGGCGCAAGGGUGCGUAACGCGUGAGCAACUUGCCCUUAUCAGGGGGAUAACCGUUGGAAACGGCGACUAAUACCCCAUGGUAUCCGAUACGGGCAUCCGUGUUGGAUUAAAGAUUUAUCGGAUAAGGAUAGACUCGCGUGACAUUAGCUAGACGGCGGGGUAACGGCCCACCGUGGCGACGAUGUCUAGGGGUUCUGAGAGGAAGGUCCCCCACACUGGAACUGAGACACGGUCCAGACUCCUACGGGAGGCAGCAGUGAGGAAUAUUGGUCAAUGGUCGGGAGACUGAACCAGCCAUGCCGCGUGAAGGUUACGGCCCUAUGGGUCUUAAACUUCUUUUGCGAGGGAGCAAUAAGGUGCACGUGUGCACUGAUGAGAGUACCUCGCGAAUAAGCAUCGGCUAACUCCGUGCCAGCAGCCGCGGUAAUACGGAGGAUGCGAGCGUUAUCCGGAUUUAUUGGGUUUAAAGGGAGCGUAGACGGGAUGUUAAGUCAGUUGUGAAAUGCUGUGGCUCAACCAUAGCACUGCAGUUGAUACUGGCGUUCUUGAGUGCGUAUGAGGUACGUGGAAUUCGUGGUGUAGCGGUGAAAUGCUUAGAUAUCACGAAGAACUCCUAUUGCGAAGGCAGCGUACCAAUCCGUAACUGACGUUGAGGCUCGAAAGUGUGGGUAUCAAACAGGAUUAGAUACCCUGGUAGUCCA